UACGGGGGGAGCAAGCGUUGUUCGGAUUUACUGGGCGUAAAGGGCGCGUAGGCGGCCACCGCAAGUCAGUUGUGAAAGCUCUGGGCUUAACCCAGAAAGGUCAGCUGAUACUGCGGGGCUAGAGUGCAGAAGGGGCAACUGGAAUUCUCGGUGUAGCGGUGAAAUGCGUAGAUAUCGAGAGGAACACCUGCGGCGAAGGCGGGUUGCUGGGCUGACACUGACGCUCAUGCACGAAAGCGUGGGGAGCAAACAGG
rnacentral:rRNA from 1 species